UCCACCCACCCAUCAUCUAUCCAUCCAUCCAUCCAUCCUCCACUGGCCGUGCCGGGUCAGCCGCUCCACUAGAACAAGACCAACUCGUUUGCUGUCGUCCUAGAACUUUCCAUUCACGCCGAGAGAGGGAUCAUGAACAAAGCAUCCAGGAAAAAGAAGACAGUUGGAGAAAGUUGUUGGGUCUCUUUUUUUCUAUUCAGCCAGAGUGGCUGACCAGCAAGCCCCCGGGACUGUCUCCCAGGCACUGCAUUACAGGAUGUGAGGCGGCAGUGAUGGGAUGAACAGGAUAAAGAAAGGAAGGCCUGCAGGGAAACACGGGGGAGGAAGGAAAGCCAGGACCGGGCUCCCACACAGAACGUGAACUGGGCACUUGUCAGCCGUGAGCUGAGAAUUAGAUGUGAGCUCCCUGGCUGCCAAUGCAAACAGGAAAAUGUGAUCAGUUACUGUGCGUUUCUCUGAUUUAAAAGCAAACGUGCAAAGAUGUUCACCAUGAGAAAAAAGCCUGAGGUCCCGGCUCCUCGCCACCCCCUUCUGUGGAAGUGUGAGGGGCCUGAAGGAGCCCCUAGACCUCCAAAAGCUCUGCAGAGUCCAAAUGGAAAACUAGUCACUCCAAAGCGUCUCACCGUGUGGAAGACCACAGGCCAAGCUGCUUGGCCCAUCGGGCCUUCGGCUGCUACUGAUAAAGGGAGAUGAUGACACACGGGUCCUCACAGAUGUGGAAACACGCUGCGGCUUGAGACAAGGGGGCUUGUUACGGACAUCUGGGACACAAAAUAUUCCCAGACCAGGAAAAAAAGGAGGCCUGGGAGACGCCCCCGUGGGAAAGAGCCUGCUGUACAAGUGUGAGGACCGGAAUUUGGAUCCCCGGAACCCACAUAGAGCCAGACACGGGAGCACACAUCUGUAAUUGCAGGGGUUCUAUGUAGAUAGGAGGCAGGAAAGGAAACUUCCUGGACAGCCUCGGGGAACACAGCAACAAACCAGGACAGCUUGUGUCAGACAUGGUGGAGGGGAAGGCCGACACCUGAGGCUGGCCGGUGACCUGCACAUGCGCAGUGUAGCUCGCAUGCUCAGAAGGUGGGUGGCACCGGCCUCGGGUUUUCCCUAACUCAAGAAGACAUGCUUCAUGUAGACAGCCCUCCAGGGAGCAGCCAACGGAGAGCUCCGCGUCUGACAGACACCCAGCUGCACAAGGCACAGCUUCUUGCAGCGAUCCCAUGAAUGGACGCUGGUCGCCCCCAAACUUGAUUCAAUAGUCCUCUCAAAACAGCAGGAAGGAAAAAAUAGCGUUAUUACUGCCAGUGAGAGAUCACGGGGCCACAUUUGGACACGAGGCUGCGUCGCCACGUGCAAACAACAGCUUGUUGACAACUUUAGCUGCCCCUCACUGAUUAGAAAGCUCCGAGGUUUUUUUUUUUUUUUUGGUUUUUCGAGACAGGG